UGCAUCCCUGGGAAUCGAAUCCGGGGCGCCCGCGUGGCAGGCGAGCAUUCUACCACUGAACCAAAAGC